rnacentral:snRNA from 1 species
GAGUUGCUGUGGUCAUGGUGUUUCCUCACAGCAAUAUAAACCCUAACUAAGGCACUUUUCUUCUCUCACAGAUUCAUCUGCAUCUUUCCUGAAUCUGUAAGCUCAAUCAAGGAAGAUGACCUUCCCCAGUAGAGGAGGACCAGGCUUCAGUAAAGGGGGUAUAAUUAGUGGCACUCCCUUCUGAGAAACUCCAAAUAAGAUCUCAAGAAUACAUNUGAAAUGUGUUUAAAAACUACACUGCAUAUUUAUCCCACGUAAGGUCCAGUAUCUGUUGAU